UACAGAGGUGGCAAGCGUUGUUCGGAAUUACUGGGCGUAAAGGGCGCGUAGGCGGUCUUCUAAGUCCUGUGUGAAAUCCCUCGGCUCAACUGAGGAACUGCACGGGAUACUGGAAGACUUGAGUUCGGGAGAGGGAAGCGGAAUUCCGGGUGUAGCGGUGAAAUGCGUAGAUAUCCGGAGGAACACCGGUGGCGAAGGCGGCUUCCUGGACCGAUUACUGACGCUGAGGCGCGAAAGCCAGGGGAGCGAACGGG
rnacentral:rRNA from 1 species